UAGGGCAAGAUGGAGAAGCAGGGCACGUGCAAUACUAACUUCGAGAGAAUCACAUUCUUUUUCACUAGUGAGUUAGUGCUUCAUGUGUCCCUCUUCCCCAUCAUGACCGC